CUACGGGAUGCACCAGUGAGGAAUUUUGCGCAAUGGGGGAAACCCUGACGCAGCAACGCCGCGUGAGUGAAGAAGGCCCUUGGGUCGUAAAGCUCUGUCAAUGGGGAAGAAGUUAUUAUGUGUUAAUAGCACAUUUUAUUGACGGUACCCAUGAAGGAAGCACCGGCUAACUCCGUGCCAGCAGCCGCGGUAAUACGGGGGGUGCAAGCGUUAUUCGGAAUUAUUGGGCGUAAAGGGCACGCAGGCGGUCCUGCCAGUCAGAUGUGAAAGCCCGGGGCUCAACCCCGGACGUGCAUUUGAAACAGCAGGACUUGAGUACGGGAGAGGAAAGGGGAAUUCCUGGUGUAGAGGUGAAAUUCGUAGAUAUCAGGAGGAACACCGGUGGCGAAGGCGCCUUUCUGGACCGAUACUGACGCUGAGGUGCGAAGGCGUGGGUAGCGAACGGGAUUAGAUACCCCAGUAGUC
rnacentral:rRNA from 1 species